rnacentral:rRNA from 1 species
CGACGCCCAACACACAAAACAAGCGGUGAGUGCUUUGGGGUGGGGUGACUGCGUACCUUUUGUAUAAUGGGUCAGCGACUUAUAUUCUGUAGCAAGGUUAACCGUAUAGGGGAGCCGAAGGGAAACCGAGUCUUAACCGGGCGUUAAGUUGCAGGGUAUAGACCCGAAACCCGGUGAUCUAGCCAUGGGCAGGUUGAAGGUUGGGUAACACUAACUGGAGGACCGAACCGACUAAUGUUGAAAAAUUAGCGGAUGACUUGUGGCUGGGGGUGAAAGGCCAAUCAAACCGGGAGAUAGCUGGUUCUCCCCGAAAGCUAUUUAGGUAGCGCCUCGUGAACUCAUCUUCGGGGGUAGAGCACUGUUUCGGCUAGGGGGUCAUCCCGACUUACCAACCCGAUGCAAACUGCGAAUACCGAAGAAUGUUAUCACGGGAGACACACGGCGGGUGCUAACGUCCGUCGUGAAGAGGGAAACAACCCAGACCGCCAGCUAAGGUCCCAAAGUCACAGUUAAGUGGGAAACGAUGUGGGAAGGCUCAGACAGCCAGGAUGUUGGCUUAGAAGCAGCCAUCAUUUAAAGAAAGCGUAAUAGCUCACUGGUCGAGUCGGCCUGCGCGGAAGAUGUAACGGGGCUAAACUGUGCACCGAAGCUGCGGCAGCGACGCUUAUGCGUUGUUGGGUAGGGGAGCGUUCUGUAAGCCUGCGAAGGUGUCCUGUGAGGGAUGCUGGAGGUAUCAGAAGUGCGAAUGCUGACAUAAGUAACGAUAAUGCGGGUGAAAAGCCCGCUCGCCGGAAGACCAAGGGUUCCUGUCCAACGUUAAUCGGGGCAGGGUGAGUCGACCCCUAAGGCGAGGCCGAAAGGCGUAGUCGAUGGGAAACGGGUUAAUAUUCCCGUACUUGGUGUUACUGCGAAGGGGGGACGGAGAAGGCUAUGUUGGCCGGGCGACGGUUGUCCCGGUUUAAGCGUGUAGGCUG